UACGGAGGGUGCAAGCGUUGCUCGGAAUUACUGGGCGUAAAGGGCGCGUAGGCGGCUCGGUAAGUAGGGGGUGAAAUCCUGCGGCUCAACCGCAGGGCUGCCUUCUAAACUGUCGAGCUCGAGCACGGUAGAGGCAGAUGGAAUUCCCGGUGUAGCGGUGGAAUGCGUAGAGAUCGGGAAGAACAUCAGUGGCGAAGGCGGUCUGCUGGGCCGUUGCUGACGCUGAGGCGCGACAGCGUGGGGAGCAAACAGG
rnacentral:rRNA from 1 species